UACGAAGGGUGCAAGCGUUACUCGGAAUUACUGGGCGUAAAGCGUGCGUAGGUGGUGAGUUAAGUCUGUCGUGAAAGCCCCCGGGCUCAACCUGGGAAUGGCGAUGGAUACUGGCUCGCUAGAGUGCGGUAGAGGAGAGUGGAAUUCCCGGUGUAGCAGUGAAAUGCGUAGAGAUCGGAAAGAACACUCGUGGCGAAGGCGACUUCCUGGCCAAAGACUGACGCUGAGGUGCGAAAGCGUGGGUAGCAAACAGG
rnacentral:rRNA from 1 species